UGACCAUGGGGCCGGGUUGUUCCGCGUCGGUAGAGCGGCAUGACCUAGGGGUAAAGGGGUUACCUCCGCGAACGCGGGCCGGGUCAGGCGAAGC
rnacentral:ncRNA from 1 species